CAGUCGCCGCGGUAAUACGGAGGGUGCAAGCGUUAUCCGGAGUUACUGGGCGUAAAGCGCGCGUAGGUGGUUUGUUAAGUUGGAUGUGAAAGCCCCGGGUUCAACCUGGGAACUGCAUCCAAAACUGGCAAGCUAGAGUACGGUAGAGGGUGGUGAAAUUUCCUGUGUAGCGGUGAAAUGCGUAGAUAUAGGAAGGAACACCAGUGGCGAAGGCGACCACCUGGACUGAUACUGACACUGAGGUGCGAAAGCGUGGGGAGCAAACAGGAUUAGAUACCCCCGUAGUCCCUGUCUCUUAUAA
rnacentral:rRNA from 1 species